rnacentral:misc_RNA from 1 species
GUGAAUCAUCAAAUUUUUGAACGCAAAUUGCACUCUCCGGUUUUCCGGGAGAGUAUGCCUGUUUGCGGGUCAGCCUAAAAAAAAUCGACAUUGUUGCUGUUAUUUAAUGGUGACUUUCGUCGGAGAUUGGGUUAUCUUAAACCUUUUUUUUUUUUUUUGGUUUAAGCGAUUUAAAUUUUUUUUUCCCAUUUCAUUGAAGUUUUUUAAGUUUUUUUUUUUUUUUAGUUU